rnacentral:rRNA from 1 species
ACGAACGCUGGCGGCGUGCUUAACACCUGCAAGUCGAACGGAAAGGCCCUGCUUUUGUGGGGUGCUCGAGUGGCGAACGGGUGAGUAACACGUGAGUAACCUGCCCUUGACUUUGGGAUAACUUCAGGAAACUGGGGCUACUACCGGAUAGGAGCUCCUGCUGCAUGGUGGGGGUUGGAAAGUUUCGGCGGUUGGGGAUGGACUCGCGGCUUAUCAGCUUGUUGGUGGGGUAGUGGCUUACCAAGGCUUUGACGGGUAGCCGGCCUGAGAGGGUGACCGGCCACAUUGGGACUGAGAUACGGCCCAGACUCCUACGGGAGGCAGCAGUGGGGAAUAUUGCACAAUGGGCGGAAGCCUGAUGCAGCAACGCCGCGUGCGGGAUGACGGCCUUCGGGUUGUAAACCGCUUUCGCCUGUGACGAAGCGUGAGUGACGGUAAUGGGUAAAGAAGCACCGGCUAACUACGUG